CAUCAGUGGCGAAGGCGGCUUUCUGGACUAUAACUGACACUGAGGCACGAAAGCGUGGGGAGCAAANCAGGAUUAGAUACCCUGGUAGUCCACGCCGUAAACGAUGGAUACUAGAUGCAGGAGGUAUUCACUCCUUCUGUGUCGCAGCUAACGCAAUAAGUAUCCCGCCUGGGGAGUACGAUCGCAAGAUU
rnacentral:rRNA from 1 species